rnacentral:rRNA from 1 species
GACGAACGCUGGCGGCGUGCUUAACACAUGCAAGUCGAACGGAAAGGCCCUGCUUUUGUGGGGUGCUCGAGUGGCGAACGGGUGAGUAACACGUGAGUAACCUGCCCUUGACUUUGGGAUAACUUCAGGAAACUGGGGCUAAUACCGGAUAGGAGCUCCUGCUGCAUGGUGGGGGUUGGAAAGUUUCGGCGGUUGGGGAUGGACUCGCGGCUUAUCAGCUUGUUGGUGGGGUAGUGGCUUACCAAGGCUUUGACGGGUAGCCGGCCUGAGAGGGUGACCGGCGACAGGGGGACUGAGAUAGGGCCGGAACGCCGAGGGGGGGAAGAAGGGGGAAAUAUGACAAAGGGGGGGGAGGCCGAAAGCAGCAACGCCGCGGGGGGGAGGGCGGCUUGGGGGUUGAAAACCGCUUGCGCCGGUGACGAAGGGGGAGGGGGGGUAGGGGAUAAAGGAACAGGGACAAACUACGUC